UGAAGCGGCAACAGCUCAAAUUUGAAAUCUGGCUUCGGCCCGAGUUGUAAUUUGUAGAGGAUGCUUUUGGCGCGGUGCCUUCUGAGUUCCCUGGAACGGGACGCCAUAGAGGGUGAGAGCCCCGUAUAGUUGGACACCAAGCCUUUGUAAAGCUCCUUCGACGAGUCGAGUAGUUUGGGAAUGCUGCUCAAAAUGGGAGGUAAAUUUCUUCUAAAGCUAAAUACCGGCCAGAGACCGAUAGCGCACAAGUAGAGUGAUCGAAAGAUGAAAAGCACUUUGAAAAGAGGGUUAAAUAGCACGUGAAAUUGUUGAAAGGGAAGCGCUUAUGACCAGACUUGUUCCCGGUUGAUCAUCCAGUGUUCUCACUGGUGCACUCUGCCGGGGUCAGGCCAGCGUCGGUUCUCGCAGGGGGAUAAAAGCUUCGGGAACGUAGCUCCUCCGGGAGUGUUAUAGCCCGUUGCACAAUACCCUUGUGGGGACCGAGGUACGCGCUCUGCAAGGACGCUGGCGUAAUGGUCAUCAGCGACCCGUCUUGAAACACGGACCAAGGAGUCGAGGUUUUGCGCGAGUGUUUGGGUGUAAAACCCGCACGCGUAAUGAAAGUGAACGUAGGUGAGAGCUUCGGCGCAUCAUCGACCGAUCCUGAUGUAUUCGGAUGGAUUUGAGUAAGAGCGUAUAGCCUCGGACCCGAAAGAUGGUGAACUAUGCCUGUAUAGGGUGAAGCCAGAGGAAACUCUGGUGGAGGCUCGCAGCGGUUCUGACGUGCAAAUCGAUCGUCAAAUAUGGGCAUGGGGGCGAAAGACUAAUCGAACCAUCUAGUAGCUGGUUACCGCCGAAGUUUCCCUCAGGAUAGCAGUGUUGUCUUCAGUUUAUGAGGUAAAGCGAAUGAUUAGGGACUCGGGGGCGCUUUUAGCCUUCUCCCUUCUCAACUUUAAUAUGUAAGAAGCCUUGUACUUAUU
rnacentral:rRNA from 1 species